rnacentral:rRNA from 1 species
CCUACGGGUGGCAGCAGUGGGGAAUUUUGGACAAUGGGGGAAACCCUGAUCCAGCCAUGCCGCGUGAGUGAAGAAGGCCUUCGGGUUGUAAAGCUCUUUCGGCCGGAACGAAAUCGUGUUCCUGAACAGGGGGCAUGGAUGACGGUACCGGAAGAAGAAGCACCGGCUAACUACGUGCCAGCAGCCGCGGUAAUACGUAGGGUGCGAGCGUUAAUCGGAAUUACUGGGCGUAAAGCGUGCGCAGGCGGUUACACAAGCCAGAUGUGAAAUCCCCGGGCUUAACCUGGGAACUGCAUUUGGGACUGUGUGGCUGGAGUAUGGCAGAGGGAGGUGGAAUUCCACGUGUAGCAGUGAAAUGCGUAGAGAUGUGGAGGAACACCGAUGGCGAAGGCAGCCUCCUGGGCCAAUACUGACGCUCAUGCACGAAAGCGUGGGGAGCAAACAGGAUUAGAUACCCUGGUAGUC